rnacentral:rRNA from 1 species
AUGAACGCUGGCGGCGUGCCUAAUACAUGCACGUCGAGCGAACAGACGAGGAGCUUGCUCCUCUGACGUUAGCGGCGGACGGGUGAGUAACACGUGGAUAACCUACCUAUAAGACUGGGAUAACUUCGGGAAACCGGAGCUAAUACCGGAUAAUAUAUUGAACCGCAUGGUUCAAUAGUGAAAGACGGUUUUGCUGUCACUUAUAGAUGGAUCCGCGCCGCAUUAGCUAGUUGGUAAGGUAACGGCUUACCAAGGCAACGAUGCGAAGCCGACCUGAGAGGGUGAUCGGCCACACUGGAACUGAGACACGGUCCAGACUCCUACGGGAGGCAGCAGUAGGGAAUCUUCCGCAAUGGGCGAAAGCCUGACGGAGCAACGCCGCGUGAGUGAUGAAGGUCUUCGGAUCGUAAAACUCUGUUAUUAGGGAAGAACAAAUGUGUAAGUAACUAUGCACGUCUUGACGGUACCUAAUCAGAAAGCCACGGCUAACUACGUG